GCUAUCAUACUAGCACUAAUGUACCGGAUCCCAUCAGAACUCCAUAGUUAAGUAUGCUUGGACAACAGUUGUACUAGUAUGGGUGACCCCAUGGGAAGUCCUCGUGUUGCACCCC